rnacentral:rRNA from 1 species
AUUGAACGCUGGCGGCAGGCCUAACACAUGCAAGUCGAGCGAGCGGCGGACGGGUGAGUAAUUUCUGGGAAACUGCCUGAUGGAGGGGGAUAACUACUGGAAACGGUAGCUAAUACCGCAUACCAUCAGAUGUGCCCAGCUGGGAUUAGCUAGUAGGUGGGGUAACGGCUCACCUAGGCGACGAUCCCUAGCUGGUCUGAGAGGAUGACCAGCCAAACUGGAACUGAGACACGGUCCAGACUCCUACGGGAGGCAGCAGUGGGGAAUAUUGCACAAUGGGGGAAAGCCUGAUGCAGCCAUGCCGCGUGUAUGAAGAAGGCCUUCGGGUUGUAAAGGACUUUCAGCGGGGAGGCGUUACCCGCAGAAGAAGCACCGGCUAACUCCGUGCCAGCAGCCGCGGUAAUAC